UACAGAGGUCUCAAGCGUUGUUCGGAUUCAUUGGGCGUAAAGGGUGCGUAGGCGGCGAGGUAAGUCGGAUGUGAAAUCCCGGGGCUCAACCCCGGAACUGCAUUCGAUACUGCUUUGCUUGAGUACUGGAGAGGAGACUGGAAUUUACGGUGUAGCAGUGAAAUGCGUAGAUAUCGCAAGGAAGACCAGUGGCGAAGGCGAGUCUCUGGACAGUUACUGACGCUGAGGCACGAAGGCCAGGGGAGCAAACGGG
rnacentral:rRNA from 1 species